UUCCUCUACCUUAAUCUACAUAUAAGUAAUACAAUGUCGCAGUUUUAGUUUAACAGGAUAAAAGGCCUUCCCUUUAUAGCAAGCAUUUUAACAGUAGAAUUGUUUGUUUCCUUUUUGCAGUAUCCGGAAAGCACUGAAGUUGAGGAGACCCCUUUGGG